UACGGGGGGAGCAAGCGUUGUUCGGAUUUACUGGGCGUAAAGGGUGCGUAGGUGGCCUGACAAGUUAUCAGUGGUAAAUCGAGGCUCAACCUCGUGGAAACUGGUAAUACUGUCCGGCUCGAGUACAGGAGAGGUUAACGGAACUCUAUGUGGAGCGGUAAAAUGCACAGAUAUAUAGAAGAACAUCAAUAACGGCGAAGGCAGUUAACUAUUCUGUUACUGACACUGAGGCGCGAAAGCGUGGGGAGCAAAACGG
rnacentral:rRNA from 1 species